rnacentral:rRNA from 1 species
GGGUUGUGAGGUUAAGCGACUAAGCGUACACGGUGGAUGCCCUGGCAGUCAGAGGCGAUGAAGGACGUGCUAAUCUGCGAUAAGCGUCGGUGAGGUGAUAUGAACCGUUAUAACCGGCGAUUUCCGAAUGGGGAAACCCAGUGUGAUUCGUCACACUAUCAUUAACUGAAU